UACGGAAGGCAGCAGUGGGAAUAUUGCACAAUGGGCGAAAGCCUGAUGCAGCUAUGCCGCGUGUAUGAAGAAGGCCUUAGGGUUGUAAAGUACUUUCAUCGGGGAGGAAAAAACAAAACUAAUAAUUUUAUUUCUUGACGUUACCCGAAAAAGAAGCACCGGCUAACUCCGUGCCAGCAGCCGCGGUAAUACGGAGGGUGCUAGCGUUAAUCAGAAUUACUGGGCGUAAAGAGCACGUAGGUGGUUUUUUUAAGUCAGAUGUGAAUCCCUGGGCUUAACCUAGGAACUGCAUUUUGAAACUGAAAUACUAGAGUAUCGUAGAGGGAGGUAGAAUUCUAGGCGUAGCGGUGAAAUGCGUAGAUAUCUGGAGGAAUACCUGUGGCGAAAGCGGCCUCCUAAACGAAUACUGACACUGAGGUGCGAAAGCGUGGGGAGCAAACAGGGAUUAGAUACC
rnacentral:rRNA from 1 species